GGUGAACGCUGGCGGCGUGCUUAAGACAUGCAAGUCGAACGGCAGUCUUCGGACUGUAGUGGCGCACGGGUGAGUAACGCGUAACUGACCUACCCCAAAGUCGCGGAUAACGAUUCGAAAGAAUCGCUAAUACGUGAUGUGCUGUCAGAUUGUGUUCUGCCAGUAAAGAUUGAUUGCUUUGGGAUGGGGUUGCGUUCCAUCAGCUAGUUGGUGGGGUAAAGGCCCACCAAGGCGACCACGGAUAGCCGGCCUGAGAGGGUGGCCGGCCACAGGGGCACUGAGACACGGGUCCCACUCCUACGGGAGGCAGCAGUUAGGAAUCUUCCACAAUGGGCGAAAGCCUGAUGGAGCGACGCCGCGUGAGGGAUGAAGGUCUUCGGAUCGUAAACCUCCGAAUCAGGGACGAAAGACACUUCGGUGGGAUGACGGUACCUGAGUAAUAGCACCGGCUAACUCCGUGCCAGCCGCCGCGGUAAUAC
rnacentral:rRNA from 1 species